AACGAACGCUGGCGGCAGGCCUAACACAUGCAAGUCGAGCGCCCCGCAAGGGGAGCGGCGGACGGGUGAGUAACGCGUGGGAACGUACCCUUUGCUACGGAAUAGCCUCGGGAAACUGGGAGUAAUACCGUAUGUGCCCUUCGGGGAAAGAUUUAUCGGCAAAGGAUCGGCCCGCGUUGGAUUAGGUAGUUGGUGGGGUAAUGGCCUACCAAGCCGACGAUCCAUAGCUGGUUUGAGAGGAUGAUCAGCCACACUGGGACUGAGACACGGCCCAGACUCCUACGGGAGGCAGCAGUGGGGAAUCUUAGACAAUGGGCGCAAGCCUGAUCUAGCCAUGCCGCGUGAGCGAUGAAGGCCUUAGGGUUGUAAAGCUCUUUCAGUGGGGAAGAUAAUGACUGUACCCACAGAAGAAGCCCCGGCUAACUCCGUGCCAGCAGCCGCG
rnacentral:rRNA from 1 species